GCCCCGCUGGACCGGCGGGAGGCCACCGCGGCGCUCCCGGUGCCGCUGGUGGAGCCGCUCGACCCGGCCGCGGGGUUCC
rnacentral:tRNA from 1 species